GGAUGUGAGGGCGAUCUGGCUGCGACAUCUGUCACCCCAUUGAUCGCCAGGGUUGAUUCGGCUGAUCUGGCUGGCUAGGCGGGUGUCCCCUUCCUCCCUCACGGCUCCAUGUGCGUCCCUCCCGAAGCUGCGCGCUCGGUCGAAGAGGACGACCAUCCCCGAUAGAGGAGGACCGUUCUUCGGUCAAGGGUAUACGAGUAGCUGCGCUCCCCUGCUAGAACCUCCAAACAAGCUCUCAAGAAGUAGAAAAAGAAACACUAUAACCACAUGGAAACCCUUUCUACUCUUGCUUCAAGAGCUACAGUCUCUCAGA
rnacentral:snRNA from 1 species